CUCAUUUCCCCUUCAAUAAUUCAAUCGUUCGUCUUUCUUUUCCUCGAUUCAUCAUCUUCAAAUAAUUCACCCUCAACAAUAUAUAAGUAGGUGCAGUGUGCCGUUCCUCUUUAAUAGAAACUAUUAUAAUCCCAGGAUCAAGGAUCCGGCACCUCUUUCACAAUCGUCAAGAUCGAGUACAAAAUUUAAUCUCUGCAUGCAAAGGUUUUGCCGUUUUGGUUAAUGCGUUGGAUAUACGAUUUAUUAAUAAUCGGAAAUGGUUGUUCUUCUAAAUUGGAAUCUUUAUUAUUUAACUGAUGGAAAGUAUCGGUAAUCACCUUACCAGAGGGACGAUCAUAAGGUGGAAGUGCGAGUGCCUACUGACUAAGAAGUCUGCCGGCCUUUGCUGUCUGACUUGUGGUUUCCUCUUUUAUCUAACUGAUAAUUAUUUUGGGGGUUUUACUCUGUCCUCUUUUAGUUGGAUUGCCUUAUCAUGUUUAAGUUGAAGAGAGUGUUCGAAAUUUGCUCAAGGCAAAAAUUUUAAUAGAAAGAACAAGAAAGUAAUUAUGGUCGACAUGUUUAGGAGUUUGACCUGAUACAUGUUUCUCAUGUAGAAGUCAGUGAAAUUUGUCUACUCGCGUGGUAUGUUGGAUGAAGGAUACCACCUGCAUUUUGUUCAAUUUUAUGGUCAUCACAUGGAAUGUUAUGAGCCACACAUGGACCGACGUGCAGCGAUGUGGUUGAUUAUGGAUUCAGUGAACUUGUAACAUCGAUGAUAUCACUGAUACGUGCAUUGAGUUGCCUUUUUUAAAAUAAAAUUUCCUCAGCUUGUUCAGUACCAGUCAUAUUGUCAUUUAGGCGUAGUAAAUCUUGUGGUUCUUAUUUUGUGGAAUUAGGAAUGAAGAGGACAACAUAUUACAAUGAUGCUGCUCAGAUGCAGGAGCAGUGGCCUAUUAAGAAGGCACUCACCCUCUCUGAUGUCGAUAUUACUCAUCCAUUCUUGACAUUGUCCCGGCAACAAGUUGAAACUCAUAUUCUUGUGUAUAUGACACCUCAGCAGCAGGAAGAUCUAAGUACCAAUGGCCAAGUGGGCUUUAAUGCCCAAGAUGAUGAUACUGGUGAUGUGUAUGUGAUGAAAUUGAAGUGGCGUGGGAGCUAUUAUAAUCUCAUUGGCAAAUGGGGAAAAGUGAUACGAGGAAAGGGACUUGAUGUUGGGCAAGAAAUUAAGCUGAAGUGGUUUAAUGGAUGCUUACACUUUUCAGUUCCAGAACAGCAGGUUAUUGCAGUUCCCCCAACUCGAAUGGUUGCGGCCCCCCUAGUGCAGGACCACUGGCCUAUAAAAAAGGUCCUGACAUCGUCAGAUGUUGAUACUAAUCAUCCUUUUCUCCCAUUGCCUCGUAGAUCUGUGGAAGAUCAUAUUCUUGUGCAUUGGGUGCCACAAGAAAGAGAAGAAUUGAGAAAGGAAGAGCAGGUGUCAAUAAAUGCACGAGAUUAUGAUACAAGUGAUAUUCAUGUAAUGAAAUUGAAAUGGCGAGGUAAUUACUAUAAUCUCAUUGGGGGCUGGGCAAAUAUCAUUCGACAGAAAGGACUUGGCAUUGGUCAAGAAAUCAGAUUGCGCUGGGCAAAUAAUUGCUUGUACUUCUCAGUUCUAGCGGAGCAGUAUGUCUCAACAGCUUCUGGACAUGAUAAUUGGCCUAUCAAGAAAGCGCUCACAUUGUCUGAUGUGGAUACAAAUCAUCCAUUCCUUACUUUGCCAGGAAAAGCAGUUGAAGAUCACGUACUCUUGUACUGGUCACAGCAAGCUCGGGAACAGUUGAGGAAUGAACAUCAAAUUCGCAUUAAUGCUCGGGAUGAUGACACGGGUGAUCUAUAUGCAAUGAAGUUGAAAUGGCGCAGGAGUUACUAUAAUCUUAUUGGCAAGUGGGGCAAAAUCAUUAGAGAGAAGAGACUUCAAGUAGGAAGAGAGAUCAGAGUGCGUUGGGACAACGGAUGCUUGAUCUUCUCCGUUCUUGGGUGAUGCAUUUAUUUUGUGGAGAUAGGAUGCUAAUGAUUGGUGCAAGUGGUUUGCUGGAAUUUACAAAUUCAGCGAGGUUAUUGAUUCCCAGCAAUAUGUGUAGUAAUGUCUGCUUCAGUGUUACAGUGCAAGAUUGCUGAUGGUACAAUUCUAGGACAUUAACAGAAACAACCAGUUUUGGAGCUAGGGAUUUCGUAGAAACUGCUUUGUUGGGGCCUUUGCCAUUGUAUGAUUUUCAUUCACACUUUCAGGAAAGCUAGUCUCCGGAAUGUACAUUUGGUCUUCUGGGGAAAAUUUUGAGUAUUUCAGAAGUAGGUCCACUUCAUUGAAGGUUCUCUGCUCUGAGGAUUGAUAAUUCUUACCUUUCCAGUCUGCAAAAUGUAGAGCAUUCCAAAAGCUGAAAUUGCUUGAUGUCAUUUUUUGAUGCGUAAAAGCUUAUGCUGAUAUUUGCAAGCAGACGAGAAGCUGAAUUGGAAAACGAGAAUUUUGUAGAAAAUGAUUAAAUUUGUUCAUUGCAUGGCAUGCUUAAGAUUUACUGUAAUAGGAAAAAAUUGAUGGUUACUGUUUCUCAGCUUCUUGCUUAUUGGCUACAAUUCUGCAAGGUGGGUUGAGGAGGAGAAAGGAAGAUAAUUGCAGUCUAAGAAUGUCAUUGUGCUUGCUGGUGCCUAUAUGUGGUUCAAACAAUGAGGUUGCUGCAAACUGGUGUUGUAUUUGGGAUAAAAAGAAGCUUUGUCAAAGAAAUCGCAUCUGCAUUGAAUGAGCGGAAGGUCGAUGUAAGGCAGCAGUUUAGCUUGAAGAUCACUCAUUCCAAGUCUACUCUCUUGGAUAGAACUUCCGUUUGAGUUUUGCUCCAACUGAAAUUUUUGGUACUGAUUUUCCAAGAAAUUUUUUGCUGCAAAUGUGAAGUGAAAACUUAUCUUGGAUAACUUUGUGCAAAUGCAAACUGUAUAUGAAUUUACAUGUGGCCUCUUUUGAAUUUGGAUUUGUCGUGUUGGAUGUUAGACUGCAUAGGACUGGAUAAGAUCAAUAAGUAUUAAACUUUGUCCACGACCACUUCACUAUAUCAAACAUGGUACCGGCAAUGAGGUGGAAUUUUCGUGGUGAUUGUGAUGAUUUGCCAAAGAUAACUAGAGAUUGUGAUAUGAUUGAUUUCAAUUGAAUAAUGAAAGGUAGACCAAGGAAAGAAGCCUUCUUGUAACAA